rnacentral:tRNA from 1 species
ACUUAUAUAGUUUAACUUAAAACAUUAAUUUUGUAAAUUAAAAAUAUAAUUAAUUAUAAGUA